UACGUAGGGUGCAAGCGUUAAUCGGAAUUACUGGGCGUAAAGCGUGCGCAGGCGGUGAUGUAAGACAGUUGUGAAGUCCCCGGGCUUAACCUGGGAACUGCAUUUGUGACUGGCAAGCUAGAGUAUGGCAGAGGGGGGGUAGAAUUCCACGUGUAGCAGUGAAAUGCGUAGAGAUGUGGAGGAAUACCGAUGGCGAAGGCAGCCCCCUGGGCCAAUACUGACGCUCAUGCACGAAAGCGUGGGGAGCAAACAGG
rnacentral:rRNA from 1 species